CAAUAGAUGACUGAAAGCAAGUAAUGGUCU
rnacentral:tRNA from 1 species